rnacentral:rRNA from 1 species
UACGUAGGGUGCAAGCGUUAAUCGGAAUUACUGGGCGUAAAGCGUGCGCAGGCGGUUUUGUAAGUCUGUCGUGAAAGCCCCGGGCUCAACCUGGGAAUUGCGAUGGAGACUGCAAGGCUUGAAUCUGGCAGAGGGGGGUAGAAUUCCACGUGUAGCAGUGAAAUGCGUAGAGAUGUGGAGGAACACCGAUGGCGAAGGCAGCC